rnacentral:lncRNA from 1 species
GGCAGGACUUGGAUUCUUUCUGUCAGAGAUGGCCUGGAUACUGGGCUUGUUGCAGUGGGAUUAAGACUCCUUAGGGUGACAGGACUUCCUUCAAGCCCUGGGCUGCCUUCUUUGUGUCUCUUCAAGCUCGAGGCUGUGUGACCCUACACUCAGGAGAAGUUGGCUCCAGCACCAUGAGAGGGGUCUUCACGGUGGUGGUCACUACAGCACUGGCCAUUGCAGCUGUAGAGUCCCUCAGCUGCACUCAGUGUAAUUCACUUACAAACUCCUGUAUCAACGCCAGUGCCUCCGAAUGUCCUUCGGAUGCCAGCAACAGCUGUGUCAGUUCCUCGGCCAACUCCUCUCUAGGAGGAAAAAUCAGAGUCCAGCAGGAAAUGUUCUGCUCAGCAGCCGACUGCAGCGGGGAGACAGACUUGCUCCUAGCCUUCUCUGUCCACGUGUCUGAUGGAGAACGCUUCAAUUUCGCGAGCCAGUGCUGCCAAGAAAAGGCCUGUGAUGUCGCCUACAGUACCCUGGAUUCUCCGCCAGAAGAUCUUUCCAGCACGGAGUGCCCUGCUUGCCAUGGCCCUAAUGCCACAUCCUGUAUCCCGAAACCCCGGAAAUGUUAUAAAGAAGAACAGUGUGUCUCUCUCAUUGCCCAGAAUCAUGAUGCCACUGAGAUGCUGGUGCUGCAAGGCUGCUCCAACAUCAGCAACUCCAUCUGCCAGCUCCUGUCUGCUGGAAACCAGAGGAUUCGAGCGCUGACUUCAGCAUAGACUCCCGCGCCUCCGAUCCGAGCGCUGACUUCAGCAUAGACUCCCGCGCCUCCGAUCCGAGCGCUGACUUCAGCAUAGACUCCCGCGCCUCCGAUCCGAGCGCUGACUUCAGCAUAGACUCCCGCGCCUCCGAUCCGAGCGCUGACUCCAGCAUAGACUCCCGCGCCUCCAAUCCGAGCGCUGACUCCAGCACAGACUCCCCCACCUCCAAUCAGAGCGCUGACUCCAGCACAGACGCCCCCACCUCCCCCGCCUCCCAGCCCACCACCCAGGACAACUCUGUCUCCAGAGCCUUCCUUAGCCCCUUGGCUCUUGCCGGCCUCGUUCUGCUGGGGCUGCUGCUCUGAGGACCCAGGACUCUGUCCUGCCCGUGUCCCGUGGGUGCCACUCUCAUUGCUUACUGAGCCGGAAGUGAGAGGCCCUCCGGGAAAUCCCGACAGCCACACCAAUGUCUGUUAUUAAAGUGCUGAUAUUCUCAUGGCCUGAUCUGUGCUGAUCCAUUCU